AUUGAACGCUGGCGGAAUGCUUUACACAUGCAAGUCGAGCGGCAGCGCGGGGGCAACCCUGGCGGCGAGCGGCGAACGGGUGAGUAACACAUCGGAACGUACCCAGUUGUGGGGGAUAGCCCGGCGAAAGCCGGAUUAAUACCGCAUACGACCUGAGGGUGAAAGGGGGGGAUCGCAAGACCUCUCGCAGUUGGAGCGGCCGAUGGCGGAUUAGCUAGUUGGUGAGGUAAAGGCUCACCAAGGCGACGAUCCGUAGCUGGUCUGAGAGGACGACCAGCCACACUGGAACUGAGACACGGUCCAGACUCCUACGGGAGGCAGCAGUGGGGAAUUUUGGACAAUGGGGGCAACCCUGAUCCGGCCAUUCCGCGUGAGUGAAGAAGGCCUUCGGGUUGUAAAGCUCUUUCGGCAGGAACGAAACGGUGUGGGCUAAUAUCCCAUAUCAAUGACGGUACCUGAAGAAGAAGCACCGGCUAACUACGUGCCAGCCGCCGCCGUAACAC
rnacentral:rRNA from 1 species